UAUAAAGGUACAUGAAAUGACAAGAUCCAGCAAGACAUGCGAGCAGCCUUGAGGAGUGAGAAUGGCAGGGCUCCUCGCUAUAAUUCUCUCCAGGCAAUUUUCUUACCGUUUGUGCUGAAGCCUCCCUGAUGAAAGGAGUAAUGUGAUUUUUCCAUAACACAAAACUGCAGAAUGACGGCAUCAGAGCUCCAGGAGGUGCGGCUCCCGAACCCAUGACCUUCAGAGUGGGACGGCAGACCAGCAGCCCCCGACAAACCUGAUGGCCUCAGGUUUCCCCGGCCCCAGACCUGCUGGAUCAGCACCUGUGUUUUAACAAGGACUUCUGUUGUCGGUGUGUAUUUGUUCAUGAGCAGCCACAACACACAUAAAUCCUGCCGGCCAGGAUCCGCCACAAGUGACCUCUAAGUAAAACUCAGUUUAAAUUUCUUCUUUCAAAGACAGUGCAUACAAAAAAGUAACAACUGAAAUCCUACUUUGAGCACUCCAGAGGCAGAGCAGUGGUUCUAUUUCACACAUGUGGACACUGAGACUCAAGGAGGUGAAAUGAGCCCCCAGAAGAAAAGGAAGAACCAGAGUAGAGCAGAGGUCUCCUUCUGACUUGCAGUCCCCGCAGUGCUUGCUCCACAUCAUCGCACCCACCACAGUUGGCAAAGGGCACUUUCCUUCCGGACCAACUACCAUUAUGGAUAUUCUUCCUUUCCUGUGUUCUCUCUGUAAAAUCAGGAAGAUAAAAAUUACUUUCUAAAUUGAGUAAAAAUUAAAUAAGAACUGCAAGCUUCCGAGGCAGGUGCCUCGUUCAUCACUGAUCCCCAGGAACUGGCACUGCACCAAGCAUUUAAGAGGAAUGCAACAGCAUUUAUUAAAUGAAUGGGUAGAUGGGUAGGUGGAUAGAUGGACGAAUGGGUGACAGACCAUAGAGUAAGUGAAUAGAUGUAUAUUUUGAAAUUCAAAAAGUUGCUGGAUGCAUCAUCCUUGUGCCUCUUCUCUGCCUGGACAGCACUCACUGACUGUGGAAGAAAAGCACAAUUCUCUUUCAUGAUUAACCAAUAACUGACAGUUUAUCUGAAGUUUUAAUCCCUAUAAUGUUGACAUAAUAGUUUGUAAGGGUUUUUUAUUUUUAAUUAAAUUAAAUUAUUUGAUUAAUUAAUUUUUAUUUAUUUAUUAACAACCAUAAGCCGAGGUUAGUUCUCCAAAGUAGGCAGGAAAAAAAUCAUUUGACCCUAAAAUUCAUACUAAAAAAUAAAAGCUAGUAAUGUAUUUUUAGUUAAUUACUGUGCUUACGAAUUUUGAGUCAGAAUAACCACUAGGGCUAGUGGUGAUAGAGCCACACCUAUUAUUUCUGCUAAGUGCCAUCCUAAAUUAAACAUCACCUGUAUUAUUAUUUUUUAAGCUUAAUUAUUCCAGAGAGCAUAAAGAGCUGACAUUGUCCUGUGGACAUGAGAAACAUCUAUUUGCCCUUAUUAACUGUGCUGCUAAAUGCCAGGCUCCAAAAGCACUUUAUAAAUGUAGAAUCGCUAUGUUGUAUUCCUGAAAUAGAUUCUUUUAUGUCAACCAUGCUUGAAAUUUUUUUAAAAAGGAAACUGCCGCCACCACCGCCACCACCAAAAUACAUAUUAAAAAUGCCAUAUUCUUAGUAGUCAGGCCAAGUAAAUGGAAAAUGAAGUGUCAAAAAAAGAAACUGCACUGAGGCUUUCCUCUCACAGUGUGGUCUGUGGACCGGCAGCAGGGGGUUCUCUCAACCCACCGAAACCUACUUCGUUAGAAUUUGUGUCCUGACAAAAUCCCCAGAUGAUUCACAUGCAUUUAACAUUCGAGAACUUUCGUGAGAGACAGGUGCCAUCAUAGAAAGUCAGAAGUGGGGGCCUCACCUCCCCCCAGAAUUGGUGGUCAUUUAAGCCUGCCUGCUGAGAAGUUGGGCAUUUGGAAGACAAGAAGAGAGAAGCAGAAGUUAGAUACUUGGAGAUGGAGGUGGUAGCCUGGGUUCUUGAAUUUUCUGCACCAGGCUCCCUGAGAGCAAACUUUCCUUCAUUUUUUGGUCUUGGAUGUCCAGGUUUCUGGUUGUAUCCUUACCAUAAGCCUCCCUCUUUACAUUAGCUAGCUGGAGUGAGUGAACUAAAUCAUGUUUAAAAGGAAAUUAAAGUGAAUAUUUGAAGUCAUUUUGCAUGCCCUGUACAGGUAUUAUUUAUGAGCAAUUUACAUUUCCUGUUUUUUUUAAUAUCCAUUAAAUAAUACAUAGUCAGUAUUUUAAAAAUUAAUUGUUUAGAGGAAACCAAAGUAGAAAAGCCUUUUUCCCCCUCGGGCCUCACUCCCACUUCCCAGAGGUAACCAGUUAACAAUGUCUUGUGUAAGUAAUUAAUAUUUCAAUUAUUAU